rnacentral:rRNA from 1 species
AGUUUGAUCCUGGCUCAGGAUGAACGCUAGCUACAGGCUUAACACAUGCAAGUCGAGGGGCAGCAUGGUCUUAGCUUGCUAAGACUGAUGGCGACCGGCGCACGGGUGAGUAACACGUAUCCAACCUGCCGUCUACUCUUGGACAGCCUUCUGAAAGGAAGAUUAAUACAAGAUGGCAUCAUGAGUCCGCAUGUUCACAUGAUUAAAGGUAUUCCGGUAGACGAUGGGGAUGCGUUCCAUUAGAUAGUAGGCGGGGUAACGGCCCACCUAGUCUUCGAUGGAUAGGGGUUCUGAGAGGAAGGUCCCCCACAUUGGAACUGAGACACGGUCCAAACUCCUACGGGAGGCAGCAGUGAGGAAUAUUGGUCAAUGGGCGCAGGCCUGAACCAGCCAAGUAGCGUGAAGGAUGACUGCCCUAUGGGUUGUAAACUUCUUUUAUAAAGGAAUAAAGUCGGGUAUGUAUACCCGUUUGCAUGUACUUUAUGAAUAAGGAUCGGCUAACUCCGUGCCAGCAGCCGCGGUAAUACGGAGGAUCCGAGCGUUAUCCGGAUUUAUUGGGUUUAAAGGGAGCGUAGAUGGAUGUUUAAGUCAGUUGUGAAAGUUUGCGGCUCAACCGUAAAAUUGCAGUUGAUACUGGAUAUCUUGAGUGCAGUUGAGGCAGGCGGAAUUCGUGGUGUAGCGGUGAAAUGCUUAGAUAUCACGAGGAACUCCGAUUGCGAAGGCAGCCUGCUAAGCUGCAACUGACAUUGAGGCUCGAAAGUGUGGGUAUCAAACAGGAUUAGAUACCCUGGUAGUCCACACGGUAAACGAUGAAUACUCGCUGUUUGCGAUAUACUGCAAGCGGCCAAGCGAAAGCGUUAAGUAUUCCACCUGGGGAGUACGCCGGCAACGGUGAAACUCAAAGGAAUUGACGGGGGCCCGCACAAGCGGAGGAACAUGUGGUUUAAUUCGAUGAUACGCGAGGAACCUUACCCGGGCUUAAAUUGCAGAUGAAUUACGGUGAAAGCCGUAAGCCGCAAGGCAUCUGUGAAGGUGCUGCAUGGUUGUCGUCAGCUCGUGCCGUGAGGUGUCGGCUUAAGUGCCAUAACGAGCGCAACCCUUGUUGUCAGUUACUAACAGGUUCCGCUGAGGACUCUGACAAGACUGCCAUCGUAAGAUGUGAGGAAGGUGGAAGGGNCGAAUUCCAGCACACUGGNCGGCCG